rnacentral:rRNA from 1 species
UACGUAGGUGGCAAGCGUUAUCCGGAUUUAUUGGGCGUAAAGGGAACGCAGGCGGUCUUUUAAGUCUGAUGUGAAAGCCUUCGGCUUAACCGGAGUAGUGCAUUGGAAACUGGCAGGCUGGAGUGCCGGAGAGGCAGGCGGAAUUCCUAGUGUAGCGGUGAAAUGCGUAGAUAUUAGGAGGAACACCAGUGGCGAAGGCGGCCUGCUGGACGGUGACUGACGCUGAGGCUCGAAAGCGUGGGGAGCAAACAGG